CUGCUGCCUUCCGUAGGAGUUUGGACCGUGUCUCAGUUCCAAUGUGGGGGACCUUCCUCUCAGAACCCCUAUCCAUCGUUGUCUUGGUGGGCCGUUGCCCCACCAACUACCUAAUGCGCCGCAUGCCCAUCCGUGACCGGGUUCGCCCCCUUUGGCCGGCAGGGGAUGUCCCCUCCCGGCAUUAUGUUGUAUUAGGCGGGAUUUCUCCCGGUUAUCCAUCUGUCACGGCCAGGUUGCAUACGUGUUACUCACCCGUGCGCCGGUCGCCGGCGG
rnacentral:rRNA from 1 species